rnacentral:rRNA from 1 species
AGCAGCCGCGGUAAUUCCAGCUCCAAUAGCGUAUAUUAAAGUUGCUGCAGUUAAAAAGCUCGUAGUUGAAUUUCGGGACCGAUAUAUCGGUCGUGCCUCGGUACGUACUGGUAUUUUCGGUUUCUCCCUUCUGACAACCUUGAUGUCAUUAAUUUGGUGUCUUGGGGAAUCAGGACUGUUACUUUGAAAAAAUUAGAGUGUUUAAAGCAGGCUCACGCUUGAAUACAUUAGCAUGGAAUAAUGAAAUAGGACGUUUGAUUCUAUUUUGUUGGUUUCUAGGAUCGACGUAAUGAUUAAUAGGGAUAGUUGGGGGCAUUAGUAUUCAAUUGUCAGAGGUGAAAUUCUUGGAUUUAUUGAAGACUAACUACUGCGAAAGCAUUUGCCAAGGAUGUUUUCAUUAAUCAAGAACGAAAGUUAGGGGAUCGAAGACGAUCAGAUACCGUCGCAGUCUUAACCAUAAACUAUGCCGACUAGGGAUCGGAUGAUGUUAAUUUUUUCAAUGACUCAUUCGGCGCCUUAC